rnacentral:lncRNA from 1 species
UAGGAUUUAGGUUUAGAAUAUACGGUUUGGGUUUGGGUUUAGGGUCUAGAAUUUGAAUUUAAGGUAUAAGAUUUGGGUUUAAGAUUUACGGUUUAGGGUUGGGAAUUUAAGAUUUCAGGUUUACGGUUUAGCUGGCGGCGUCAGCGUUAUUAAAAUUAGCAUUAUUCUUUUUUUAGGUAUUUUUUAAAUAAAUUUAAUACUUUUUAGUUAAUUAUCCACGUGGUCUUUUAAUUGGUACUAGAAGGAUUGGUGAAUUUAAAGGUUAAUUAAUUUAAGUUAUGUUCUUCCUUAAAU